CGCCCGGCGGAGCGGCGGGAGCGGCGGCGGGCGCGGGGCCCUCCCGGCGCUACCUGUGCGAGCGCCGCGGGGCCGGGCGGGGCCGGGAGCGCUCCCAGCAUGGACUUUGACGAGUCCCAGACGUGAAGCUGUCUGUGCUCUCCUGGGGACAAGGGGACAACCUGUAAGAAGCAGACGUGGUUCUGGACAGUCCCAGGAACAUUUGACUGGGCCAGAUG
rnacentral:lncRNA from 1 species